GAUGAAGAACGUAGCGAAAUGCGAUAAGUAGUGUGAAUUGCAGAAUUCAGUGAAUCAUCGAAUCUUUGAACGCACAUUGCGCCCAUUAGUAUUCUAGUGGGCAUGCCUGUUCGAGCGUCAUUAAGUCCACUUAAGCCCUGCUUAGUGUUGGGAGACUGCUCCAGCGGUGCUACCCUGUAGCUACCCUGCAGCUCCUCAAAGACAGCGGCGGAGUUGUGGUAUCCUCUGAGCUUAGUAACUUGUUCUAGCUUUCGAGUACACCACUUCCCCUGCCGUAAAACCCUUAAUUUUUAAUGGUUGACCUCAAAUCAGGUAGGACUACCCGCUGAACUUAAGCAUAUCAAUAAGCGGAGGA
rnacentral:misc_RNA from 1 species